CAGUAGCCGCGGUAAUACGAGGGGGGCAAGCGUUGUUCGGAAUUAUUGGGCGUAAAGGGUGCGUAGGCGGUUUGGCAAGUUUGGUGUGAAAUCUUCGGGCUCAACUCGAAGUCUGCAUCGAAAACUGCCGGGCUUGAGUAUGGGAGAGGUGAGUGGAAUUUCCGGUGUAGCGGUGAAAUGCGUAGAUAUCGGAAGGAACACCUGUGGCGAAAGCGGCUCACUGGACCAUAACUGACGCUGAUGCACGAAAGCUAGGGGAGCAAACAGGAUUAGAGACCCCCGUAGUCCUGUCUCUUAUACA
rnacentral:rRNA from 1 species